rnacentral:rRNA from 1 species
AUUGAACGCUGGCGGCAGGCCUAACACAUGCAAGUCGAGCGGAUGAAGGGAGCUUGCUCCUGGAUUCAGCGGCGGACGGGUGAGUAAUGCCUAGGAAUCUGCCUGGUAGUGGGGGAUAACGUCCGGAAACGGGCGCUAAUACCGCAUACGUCCUGAGGGAGAAAGUGGGGGAUCUUCGGACCGCACGCUAUCAUAUGAGCCUAGGUCGGAUUAGCUAGUUGGUGGGGUAAAGGCCUACCAAGGCGACGAUCCGUAACUGGUCUGAGAGGAUGAUCAGUCACCCUGGAACUGAGCCACGGUCCAGACUCCUACGGGAGGCAGCAGUGGGGUAUAUUGGACAAUGGGCGAAAGCCUGAUCCAGCCAUGCCGCGUGUGUGAAGAAGGUCUUCGGAUUGUAAAGCACUUUAAGUUGGGAGGAAGGGCAGUAAGUUAAUACCUUGCUGUUUUGACGUUACCAACAGAAUAAGCACCGGCUAACUUCGUG